rnacentral:rRNA from 1 species
GACGAACGCUGGCGGCGUGCUUAACACAUGCAAGUCGAACGGAAAGGCCCUGCUUUUGUGGGGUGCUCGAGUGGCGAACGGGUGAGUAACACGUGAGUAACCUGCCCUUGACUUUGGGAUAACUUCAGGAAACUGGGGCUAAUACCGGAUAGGAGCUCCUGCUGCAUGGUGGGGGUUGGAAAGUUUCGGCGGUUGGGGAUGGACUCGCGGCUUAUCAGCUUGUUGGUGGGGUAGUGGCUUACCAAGGCUUUGACGGGUAGCCGGCCUGAGAGGGUGACCGACCACAUUGGGACUGAGAUACGGCCCAGACUCCUACGGGAGGCAGCAGUGGGGAAUAUUGCACAAUGGGCGGAAGCCUGAUGCAGCAACGCCGCGUGCGGGAUGACGGCCUUCGGGUUGUAAACCGCUUUCGCCUGUGACGAAGCGUGAGUGACGGUAAUGGGUAAAGAAGCACCGGCUAACUACGG